rnacentral:lncRNA from 1 species
AGAGAAUGUUUAAUCAACAUUGCUAUUUACAAUAGAGUCUCGCUUAUCCAACAUAAACGGGCCAGCAGAACGUUGGAUAAGCGAAUAUGUUGGAUAAUAAGGAGAGAUUAAGGAAAAACCUAUUAAACAUCAAAUUAGGUUAUGAUUUUACAAAUUAAGCACCAAAACAUCAUGUUAUACAACAAAUUUGACAGAAAAAGUAGUUCAAUACACAGUAAUGAUUUGUUGUAUAACAUGAUGUUUUGGUGCUUAAUUUGUAAAAUCAUAACCUAAUUUGAUGUUUAAUAGGCUUCUCCUUAACCUCUCCUUAUUAUCCAACAUAUUCGCUUAUCCAAUGUUCUGCCGGCCCAUUUAUGUUGAAUAAGUGAGACUCUACUGUAUAUAUCUUUUGGGCAACUGCAAUUACAUUUACAACUGCAACUGCAAUUUCAGCUUCAAAGAAACAAUCAUUCUCUGCUAACCAAAUAUAUUUUUGUAGUGGCAUGUCAUUGUCCUUGGUAGUACAAAUACAUGGUUCUUCAGUUUAACAGCUGAGUUACCUGUCUGCCAUUACACGAGUGCUUAUGAAUAUCACUUGUUUAAAGAGUUGACUUCUAACAAGGUUGUGCUUUUCUUGAAUAGUGGUUUUCAAAAAGUGCUCUCCACAAGGUCAUGGAGAUUCUAUUUGCCAAACAAAUAUGACAUUUUUCCUUUUCAAUAAGUUUAUGAUUGCCAUUUAUUUCCAAAGGGAUAUUUGCCCAGAGACUGGGUGUGGUUAUUUCCAAUAGGGGUUUACUGUGAAGGCACAAAGGGAGAAAGAGAGCAUGUAGAUGCAGAAGGAAGCGUGAGAAGUGUGAAAUGCAUGUGGAAGAAAUCAAGGGGCUCACCGAGAAGGUAUGAAGAGAGGCAACGGAGGGGAAAGGAGAAACAGGAGAACAAGAGGUGCAAACAUCACAGUGGAAGGGAUGCAUUGUGAGGCCAUGUGGUAAGGCAAAGGAGGAAUAGGGGAAUAGGAGAGAUGGAAGGGCAGGCAGGUGGUGGAAUGCAAGAAGCAAGGGAGGGGCAGAUUUCAAGGGUACAAGGAAAUGUGAUGAAGGGAGUAGGAGAGACUAGACUAUAAACAGUCCAAGCAGGAGAACUUGAGAAGAAAAGGAAGAACAUAUUGUGAAGCCAUAAGGAGAUGUGAAGAAGGGAGCAGAAGUGAUGAGACAGUGAGUAGUGGAUUGUCGAAAGUUGAGAUGUAUCGCUCAUGCAUGGAGCAAGGCAAGACAGUAAAUAGGAAGAAGAGAGUGAGGAGCGGGAAGGAGGAGAGACAAGUACAGUGAUAGGACACAAGGAGCAAGAGAAGAAGGCUUGAUGUGGGCAAAUGGUAAGAGAGGAUGGUAUGGUAAUACAAAGUGAGUGAUGGUGAGAACAAGUUAAGAGAUGCAGCAGAGUGCAAAGAGGAAGAGAGGGUAGUAAGAUAGAGGUGACAAGGAAGAAGAGGUGUGAUCCUAGUUUCGAGCACAAAGAAGGUGGCAAGGCAGCAUCAGACAUCCUCUGGCAGGAAGGAAACAGAGCUGUUCAUUGCUCCUGUGCUCUCUUUCUGAGGCAGACAAUUUGUGGUGCUCUCUUGUGGAAAGAAGGAUCUGGGUAAGGCGAGAGUAGAGAACAAAUAUAAGCAUAUCAGUAUAGAUAUUUGUUGCAAAUUUUCAGAUCUGAGGAUCCGAGGAAGUUGAAUAUAGCAACUCUAGUCUAGACAAGUCUUAUAGGUAGAAGACCUUUAUCAAAUCUCAGGUGGUAUAAGCUUGGUGAUUACUAUAAUCUUAUUUGGCCACCAGAGGGCUUUUAUUGGAAAACAACUGGCAUGCAAUUAUUUCUCACUCGUUCAGUCGU